AUUGAACGCUGGCGGCAGGCCUAACACAUGCAAGUCGAACGAGUGGCGGACGGGUGAGUAAUGUCUGGGAAACUGCCUGAUGGAGGGGGAUAACUACUGGAAACGGUAGCUAAUACCGCAUACCAUCGGAGGGGCCCAGAUGGGAUUAGCUAGUAGGGGGGGGAACGGCUCACCUGGGCGACGAUCCCUAGCGGGUCUGGGAGGAUGCCCAGCAACACUGGAACUGAGACACGGUCCAGACUCCUACGGGAGGGAGCAGGGGGGAAUAGUUCACAAUGGGCGCAAGCCUGAUGCAGCCAUGCCGCGUGUAUGAAGAAGGCCUUCGGGUUGUCAAGUACUUUCAGCGGGGAGGCGUUACCCGCAGAAGAAGCACCGGCUAACUCCGUGCCAGCAGCCGCGGUAAUUC
rnacentral:rRNA from 1 species